rnacentral:rRNA from 1 species
AGCGAACGCUGGCGGCAGGCUUAACACAUGCAAGUCGAGCGGGCGUAGCAAUACGUCAGCGGCAGACGGGUGAGUAACGCGUGGGAACGUACCUUUUGGUUCGGAACAACACAGGGAAACUUGUGCUAAUACCGGAUAAGCCCUUACGGGGAAAGAUUUAUCGCCGAAAGAUCGGCCCGCGUCUGAUUAGCUAGUUGGUGAGGUAAUGGCUCACCAAGGCGACGAUCAGUAGCUGGUCUGAGAGGAUGAUCAGCCACAUUGGGACUGAGACACGGCCCAAACUCCUACGGGAGGCAGCAGUGGGGAAUAUUGGACAAUGGGGGCAACCCUGAUCCAGCCAUGCCGCGUGAGUGAUGAAGGCCCUAGGGUUGUAAGGCUCCUUUGUGCGGGAAGAUAAUGACGGUACCGCAAGAAUAAGCCCCGGCUAACUUCGUGC